AAACAAGUCGGAGACAAAAGAAGGUUUCUAACCCUCCUUUGAAACGUUUAAUUCGUUUCUUGUUUU
rnacentral:tRNA from 1 species